GAGCCUUCUCCUUUCUCUCUCCCCGAUUCUCUCUUCCUCUCCGACCUCGUCACCUUCUUCCGGCCAUAACUCCUCCAUCCGGCGACGGAUUUUGACGUAUAAGAUGUCGUUGGAAAGCUCUCUUCCUUCUCUUCAUUUCUGGGUUCGUUUCGUAGCUUAAUAUGAACUGUGGAAGGUGCAGCAACGAGAAGAAGAGGACGGCUACUGUAGCCGAUCGGAACUUUCAUCGAUUUCCGGCGAUUCCGGCCGUUUCCAGCCACCAAAUUGGCAUCGAAGGGUUCUUGAGAAAUUUCUGGGCUUGUGUUCAUCGGCCGAAUUGGAGCUCUUUCAGGACGUUGUUGCGAGCUAUGGCUAGAUGAAGGAACGUGUUUGUGUGAUCGCCAAUAGUACUUUUGCAGGCGCUAUUAGUUGAGGUCGGGCGUACAUGGUUCGAGGCAUAGUUGAUGAAUUGCUUCCGCACUUCUUUGUUUGGCUCUGACCUAUCGUGGGUUACUGUUUUGGGUAGUCCACUUUAGUGGUGACUUGACCAGUUCCCGGUAGAGUUAUCUCUAAGGUGGGCCCCGCAGGGCCACCUCGGAUUUCAGGGCGAAAUUCGGGGCGGGUCCUGUCAGUUUCAUAAGCAGCAUUACACGUGACCAGCGUGUUUGCAUGUCAACCAACAUCAUGAGAUAUUUAAACAUCCACAAGUUGGUUGAAUCAAUCCUGAGAAUCUCUACGGAUUCUAUGUAAGAACAUAAUGAGUAUUGUCAUAUCCUUUGCAUAGGACGGUCUCAGUCCUAAUUUUCCUAAGGAACAGGCUUUGUAAAAUGAGCGACAGGCCUUUAGAAUCAACCAAUGAGGAUUUUGGUCGGGCCUAAGUGUCUGUAAUGCUAUUAGAAGCAAAAUAUGUGACUACAUCUCCCAUCAUGGCAUUGGGGCCAUGGAAAUAGCAUGUAUGACGUUAUGGCCACUGGGAGGAACAACCAUGGCGUCAUGCCCAUGGUUGGCGCCACUUAUGGCGUCAUCACGAGGGACUUGGGCGGCCCUAUGGCGUCCCAAGACAGCUGCAGCACUAGAUGCUGCGGUGGCUACUGUCUUAUUUAGUCCUGGAAUCAAUUUUCGAUUCUAGCUUCUUCUCACUCUGAAGAAUGGGUA